GACGAACGCUGGCGGCGUGCUUAACACAUGCAAGUCGAACGGAAAGGCUCCAGCUUGCUGGAGUACUCGAGUGGCGAACGGGUGAGUAACACGUGGGUAAUCUGCCCUGCACUCUGGGAUAAGCCUGGGAAACUGGGUCUAAUACUGGAUAUGACCUUUCUCCCUAUGGGGUUUGGUGGAAAGUUUUUCGGUGUAGGAUGAGCCCGCGGCCUAUCAGCUUGUUGGUGGGGUGAUGGCCUACCAAGGCGACGACGGGUAGCCGGCCUGAGAGGGGGAUCGGCCACAUUGGGACUGGGAUACGGCCCAGACUCCUACGGGGGGCAGCAGUGGGGAAUAUUGCACAAUGGGCGGAAGCCUGAUGCAGCGACGCCGCGUGAGGGAUGACGGCCUUCGGGUUGUAAACCUCUUUCAGCAGGGACGAAGCGUAAGUGACGGUACCUGCAGAAGAAGCACCGGCUAACUAUGUG
rnacentral:rRNA from 1 species